ACUCUAUGAGCGGUCCCAUACAAAGUUUCUGUGAUCAUUCACAGUAGGAAUUUUGCAUCGGUAAAUUCUGAAUGAUUUGUAAGACAUUUUUGAGGAUAAUGACAAAGUGUUUAAUACUGAGCAGUUCCCUCAAAGAUUUCUUACAAGUCCUUCAAAACCUACAUAUUUACUUAAGCAAAAUUCCUACUUGAUGGUGUGAACCAGCCUUUAAUCUGUGUUUCCAUUUCGUAGGAAAGAGAAAAGAAAGAUGAAGAAGCGAAUGAAUUUGUCAGCGCUGUUUCAUGGAGAACUGUGAGUAAUUUUUGUUAUUAUAUAAUGUAAACUAAACUAACCUUUUUUAUCUUGGAUAGCUCUAUCAAUGGCUGUCACACCGAUAUUAAUUAUUGCUUCGUCUUUCUCAGGGGUCAAACGUUGUUGUGGCUGCUAACAGUCAGGGAACUAUAAAGGUACGUUGCCUUUCUUUAAAAUUAUUAUUUAUAUACCCAUUGUGACUGCUGAUUCAAGGCGGGCCAGGGGGGAGCAUUGGAGAAAAAAUAACCUUGGCAUGGAGCCAAGUAACAUGUUUUUAUGAAUUGAAAAUAAUUGUUUUGAUAAAAAAAGAAAAGGUUUUCCGCAACAGUUUUAGACUUCUUUAUUUUUUGAAAAAUAACUCCAAAACCAAGGAGAAGUAUUGAAGGAAAAAAUGUUAGACUUAAUAACAAGUAAUUUUUAUGAGUUAAAAUAAUUGUUUUGAUUAAAAAAAAGUUUUUUUGACCAUCCGCAACAAUUUUAGAAUAUUUUUUAAUUUUUGAGAAACGACCCCGAAACCAAAGGGCUGAUCACAGGACAAAAGGGGGACUAUUGAAGAAAAAAAUUCAAAUUUAUCGUUACAUUCACUUUUCCCACUUAGGUCUUAGAGUUGGUGUAACUAUGGCGCCAACAUUAAUCUCAAAGUUGCAGUUCAAUGAUGGGUUUGUUAAACCAUUUCAAGAAUACGUAUCGUGACAUUUAAUUUAUUUUUCUAAACUCGUGUGUGUAUAAACAGGCCACUGAUCUAAAAAACAAAUCUGGAUAGCCUGAAUAUGUAUAAUAAUAAGAGACUUCUAAGUCUGUCAAAUUAUUCAGCUAUCGAAUUGUUAGAUGUUUAAAAGGGCAUAUGACUCGAACAUUGACGUUGUUAUUUCUUAGUCAAUUUGAAAGAUCAUCGAAAAACUGUAGAGUAACUUCUUUGACAGAUUUUUGUUUUCUUGCUUCGUUUUGGAGAUAUUUCUUUUUGUAUGAUAUGCAAAGGACCAACUUUCUACGACAAACAUGCACAAUAACUUACUUUAAAAUGUUAUAUAAUUUUGUCACUAUCAAAUAAAUUCGCUCAAAAUCAAUGAUGAGCACGAGAUUUGUCCACAACAACACCCAUGUAGAUUUUGUACUGAUUGUGUUUAGUCGUAUUAAAGAUAUACAGCUUUAGGGCUACAUAAUUAUGCUGAUAUGUGACGUAGGAAGUUGGUCCUUUGCAUAUCAUACAAAAUGAAAGAUCUUCAAAACGAAGCAAGAAAACAAAAAUCUGUCAAAGAAGUUACUCUACAGUUUUCAAUGAUCUUUAAACUAAAUUAGACUAAAAAAAAUAACAACGUCAAUUUUCGAGUCAUACGCCCUUUAAGAGGCAAUUUUUUAAUGCCGCGCACAGAAAAAACCCGCAUAUAAGAACCAAGAUUUUCCAAAUGAGUCUAAACAGGUUCUAAAGGCCCAUUUCCACUCAAGAAAAAUUUCCAUGGACAGAAAAUUUUCCGAAAAUAUCAUUGUUAAAACCUCAAAAAUUUUUUUCCGACGGAAAAUUUGUGUCAGCCAAUCAAAUUGUACAAAAUUUUCUUUCUGCGGAAAAUUUUCCUGAGUUGAAAAGGGCCUUUAUAUAUGUAAAUGUUCUUAACAGGAAAUUAGGCAAAACCAUUGAAAUGAAUAUAACUGGAACGCAACCUUCAUAAACUGCCUAGGCCAAAAAAAAAUAUGUGGGUUUCCGGUUUUUUCUUAUGAAAACUUAGGUGGGGUAGGUCGGUUUUAACCUUUUUUUUUAAACUUUUUUUUUAAUUUUCCGAACAAGCGGACGCCAUUUUGUUUAGUCAGUGCUUCCACAUCAAAAGAUAAAUUUCCCUAAUAUUGCCUCAAAUUUCAAUUUUCCACAAACUUUUUCCUCUAAGUGGAAACACUUACAAGCAUGAUCCAAUAAAAAAGUUUAGGGUCGGGAUUUUGACGUCCAAAAGCUAGGUAGGGUCGGAAAACCGGAAACCCACAUAUUUUGUUUUGGCUAUAUCUUCUUGAAACCAAAUCUGACCUUCCUGAAAACAUAUUGAACUGUAAUGUUCCAGGGGGGUGAAUGUCUCUCUUCAUUUAUGCAUAGCGGGUGCGCUAUCCAGUGCUAGGUUUCAGAUCAGUGUCUCAGACGGUGGGGGAGAUAUUAUGCAAUCAUGGUGGACUCUCUCCCUCAGACUUUUUAGCAUUGGCAGAAAUAUUUGUCUCCAUGCAUGUCGUAUAUAAAACUGGCUAUGUACACAUUUGGCUAACAUUUGUUUCAACCCAAUUUACAACUUUAAAAACUCGCAUGCUUAAUUAUCAUUGUUCUAGUAUACAGAAGCAUAGAAUAGAGUAGAACAAAGGCAACUAUAAACUUUAGAAUUAUCUUCACAAGUGAAUAACUCUGUAUCAAAAAAAUGUACACCCUUUCAAAUUCAAAUUAUAUACAGGGUGUCCCCAAAAAAGUACAGGCACAGGAUUUUAUGCGACUGGUAAUUAAAAAUUCAAUUCAAUUAGCCUUUCUCACGCCGCCAUUUUUGGUGUACUGUAAUUUUUCGUAAACGAUUAUAACAAUGUGAAAAGCAAUAUUUCAGAACAAACCAAUGGAACAAACUAACUAUUUGCAGAGUAAAUUUACCAUCAUACACCCAUAAAAUUAUAAAAUGUCGCCGUUACGAGGUGUUACCUUUGCAGGAUUGGCAAAAAAGUACCCCAUGUGCAGAAGACCUUGUGUUUUCACGCAUUCAUUAAUUCGAGAAAUUAUACGGCUGUCAUAUUGCUACAAUAGGUUACGGUUAAUUUGAAAGGGUGUACAUUUUUUUGAAACACCCUGUAUAUAAUUCUAAAGCUUGUUUACCUUUGUUCUAUAUUCUAUGCUUC